rnacentral:tRNA from 1 species
GUCUUUGUGUUGUAAUUGGAAGCACGUCCGGCUAGCAAUCGGAAAGUACAUAGUUUGAGUCCUGUCGAGGACA